UGGGGAAUUUUGGACAAUGGGGGCAACCCUGAUCCAGCCAUGCCGCGUGAGUGAAGAAGGCCUUCGGGUUGUAAAGCUCUUUCGGCCGGAACGAAAUCGCGUACGUGAAUAACGUGCGUGGAUGACGGUACUGGAAGAAGAAGCACCGGCUAACUACGUGCCAGCAGCCGCGGUAAUACGUAGGGUGCGAGCGUUAAUCGGAAUUACUGGGCGUAAAGCGUGCGCAGGCGGUUCCGCAAGUCAGAUGUGAAAUCCCCGGGCUUAACCUGGGAACUGCGUUUGAAACUACGGAGCUAGAGUGCGGCAGAGGGGGGUGGAAUUCCACGUGUAGCAGUGAAAUGCGUAGAUAUGUGGAGGAACACCGAUGGCGAAGGCAGCCCCCUGGGCCGACACUGACGCUCAGGCACGAAAGCGUGGGGAGCAAACAGG
rnacentral:rRNA from 1 species